UACGAAGGGGGCUAGCGUUGCUCGGAAUCACUGGGCGUAAAGCGCACGUAGGCGGAUCUUUAAGUCAGGGGUGAAAUCCUGGAGCUCAACUCCAGAACUGCCUUUGAUACUGGCGAUCUUGGAGUCCGGGAGAGGUGAGUGGAACUCCGAGUGUAGAGGUGAAAUUCGUAGAUAUUCGGAAGAACACCAGUGGCGAAGGCGGUUCUCUGGGCCUUACCUGACACUGAGGAGCGAAAGCGUGGGGAGCGAACAGG
rnacentral:rRNA from 1 species